UGAAGAAAACAGGAACUCGGGAGGAGCAAGGAAGCAAUCAUGAUGAAUGAGGGGUCUGGUAUCUCAUCUCUGGAUGUGGUAAUCUGCAACAUGCCUUGAGCGCUCCUGCCUGUCCUUGGAUGGUCUUCCUCGGCAGCAGCAUGGAAGGCGGGGCGGUUUUCUAUUUGUGGCUGUAUCACGAAGCACUUAAGCAAUCCACAGACAUUUCAGAUGGGCAACCUGAUUUCCAUGGGACAGAUGCUGAAAACGGCAACACACCCUGGGGCGAGGCGUGGGACGAAGAGAAUUAAUCACAUCCCAGGAACUGGCAUUUUACCUCCAUCCCCGGGGGAGGAUGGAGGCGGUGGUGCCAGGCUCCAGGUGCUUAGCUUGGAUUUGGGGCAAAGAAUGGAACAAAGACCUAUGUUGAAAAGUCUUGCU